rnacentral:lncRNA from 1 species
UCCCUUUCCUUCCUUGCUUUUUGGUGUAGAGAAGCCCUUUCAAUAUUUCCUUUAACCUGGGUUUUGUGUUGCUGUAUUCUUUAAGUUUUGGUUUGUUGGAAAAAAAUUUUAUUUCCCCUUCUAUUUUAAAUGAUAUUCUUGCUGGAUAGAGUAUUCUAGGUUGCAUAUUUUUUCCUUUUAGCACUUUAAAUAUCUCUUGCCAUUCCCUCCUGUCCUGUAGUGUUUCUGUAGAGAAAUCAGCUGAUAAUCUUAUGGGGAUUCCCUUGUAGGUAACAUUCUGUUUUUCUCUUGCUGCCUUUAGGCUCCUCUCUUUAUCACUAACUUUUGCCAUUUUUAUUAUGAUGUGUCUUGGUGUGGGUCUAUUUGGGUUCAGUUUGUUUGGGGCCCUCUGUGCUUCUUGUAUCUUGAACCCAGUAUCCUUUAGAUUUGGGAAGUUUCCAUCGAUAAUUUCUUCAAAUAUAUUUUCCAUUCCCUUAUCUUUUUCUACUCCUUCUGGAAUUCCUAUUAUGUGUAGAUUGGCCCGCUUUAUAUUAUCCCAUAGGUCUCUUAUAUUUCUUUCCUGUUUUUUGAUUCGGUUUUCUGUCUGCUGACCUGAUUGGGUGAUUUCCAUUAUUCUAUCUUUCUUCUGCAUUAUGAUUCGUUCUUCUGCAUUAUUCAUUCUGGUUUUUACUGCCCUUAGUUCAGUUUGCAUCUCUGCAAAUGAAUGUUCUAGUUUUUCUUGGCUCCUCCUUAUAUUUUCUAGUUCCUUUCUGAGGGUAUCUGCAUUACUGUUCAUAUCUUCUCUUAAUUCCUUCAGUAUUUUCACUAUUUCUCUUUUGAACUCCAGGUCUGUCUGACUGCAGAGAUCUGUUUCAUUGUUGACUGUUUUAGGUGAGUUCUCCUGUUGGUUUGACUGGGGGUGGUUUCUCAGCUUCUUCAUCUUGCUUGUUGUUUUCUUUCUCCUGAGGGAGUUGUACUCUCCAUUAUUGGGCAGUGUUUGCCUUGUCACUGCCGUGGAAUAUUUCCUGAGGGCUGGUGUUUGAGGCAGUGUGGCUUUUCUGGAGUGUUGAUGGGGCUAACAGGGUUUCUUUGAAGCAAAGGAGGACUUCCUGAGGGCAGACAGGACUGGGAGGUCCACACCACGAUGGUAGCAGAUUUCACUUGGUCAUGCAGAGCUUGCUCUGGUGUUUUUAGGCUGUGGGGUUCUUGCAGGGGGUUGGCGGUGGUGGGCAGCUGUUCCUCAGGAGUGCAGCACCCCCUGGGGGCUGGAGCAGCUAUCUGGGUCACUGAGAACCUAAGAGCCUCUUCCCUAGGGCAGCCCAACUUGGAAGGACGGCCUGAGAAUGUAGGCAGAUCUAUUCACAGCCUGGCUAGGCUUGUUCUAGCUUUUCUGGGCUGCAGGCCUUUUCUUGGGGGCUGGUGGUGUUUGGUGCUGCUCUGUGGAAGUGUAGCCCCUCCAAAGGGCAAGCAGGCCUGUGCAGGGACAGCCCCUGUGGUGGUAGGCUUCAGGCAAUUGUUGAGGCCAGCCCUCCUGGAUGGCAGGCAGCCCCAGGUCCAGCGAGAGCGUAGGGGGUGGUGGGGGUGGGGGGAGGGGAUGCACUGCGAAGCACAGCUUUCUGCUAGCUAGUGGGCCUGUAAGCUUGCUAUGGCAUGGGGAGUAUUCUAUGGGGACCCACCCCUUCUUCUCU